GCUAAAUUUUCCUCCCACUUUCACUCCCCCAGGAAGCUAGAGCCCUCCAACUAAUGUCCUACCCUGUGGCCAAGUUUGUGCCCUAAAGCAUCACCGAGGACCUGCGUGGAGCCAGAGGGAAGAAGGCAGCAUUCACAAGCCCAGAGUUCUCCAAAAGAGUAUGAUGUCUUCACAGGAUAUCCAAAUAAGCACUCAGUGUCUGGGACUGAUUUGCUGUCUUCUCGGACAUGCCAUGCUGCUCCGGGUCGCCCAGGACUGAGUCCC